CUGCUGCCUUCCGUAGGAGUUUGGUCCGUGUCUCAGUACCAAUGUGGGGGGUUAACCUCUCAGUCCCCCUAUGUAUCGUCGCCUUGGUAAGCCGUUACCUUACCAACCAGCUAAUACAACGCAUGCCCAUCUGUAACCGCCGAAACUUUCAACCACAAGAGAUGCCUCUCAUAGUGUUAUGCGGUAUUAGUACCGAUUUCUCAGUGUUACUCCCCCUGUUACAGGUAGGUUGCAUACGCGUUACGCACCCGUGCGCCGGUCGCCA
rnacentral:rRNA from 1 species